UACGUAGGGUGCGAGCGUUAAUCGGAAUUACUGGGCGUAAAGCGUGCGCAGGCGGUUUUGUAAGCCAGAUGUGAAAGCCCCGGGCUUAACCUGGGAAUGGCAUUUGGGACUGCAAGGCUUGAGUGCGGCAGAGGAGACUGGAAUUCCCGGUGUAGCAGUGAAAUGCGUAGAUAUCGGGAGGAAUACCGAUGGCGAAGGCAGGUCUCUGGGCUGACACUGACGCUCAUGCACGAAAGCGUGGGGAGCGAACAGG
rnacentral:rRNA from 1 species